AGAUGUUUAUCGACAUUGUAAGCAGAAAAGUACACCAAAGGUCCACACGCGUUUUUCUGUCUGCGCUCAUUGACAUCGAGUACGGGUACAGCAGUGAACGAUGACACCAGAAAGACC